UACGUAGGGUGCGAGCGUUGUCCGGAAUUAUUGGGCGUAAAGAGCUUGUAGGCGGUUUGUCGCGUCUGCUGUGAAAUCUCAAGGCUCAACCUUGAGCUUGCAGUGGGUACGGGCAGACUAGAGUGUGGUAGGGGGAGACUGGAAUUCCUGGUGUAGCGGUGAAAUGCGCAGAUAUCAGGAGGAACACCGAUGGCGAAGGCAGGUCUCUGGGCCACUACUGACGCUGAGGUGCGAAAGCGUGGGGGAGCAAACAGG
rnacentral:rRNA from 1 species